CCUACGGGGGGCAGCAGUGAGGAAUAUUGGUCAAUGGCCGGAAGGCUGAACCAGCCAAGCCGCGUGAAGGACGAAGGUGCCAAGCAUUGUAAACUUCUUUUGUCAGGGAGCAAUUGGGUCCACGCGUGGGCUUAGCGAGAGUACCUGAAGAAAAAGCAUCGGCUAACUCCGUGCCAGCAGCCGCGGUAAUACGGAGGAUGCGAGCGUUAUCCGGAUUUAUUGGGUUUAAAGGGUGCGUAGGCGGAAUAUCAAGUCAGCGGUAAACAUUCGGGGCUCAACCCCGUCGUGCCGUUGAAACUGAUGUU
rnacentral:rRNA from 1 species